rnacentral:tRNA from 1 species
UCCUGUUGGCUCGGAUGGUGAAGAAUCUGCCUGCAAUGCAGGAGACCCGGGUUCAAUCCCCGGGUCAGGAA